AUACGUGGGGGGCGGGCCGAAACCCGGAAGUCAACAAUGGGAGCUGAAGCGGCGCAGCGGCCGCCACGGAGCAGGACGGGAGCCGCUGUCGGCGCGUCCGGCUCUGGAGUCGGAGGGGCUGCGCUUCCUGCACGUCGCCGUGGGCUCCCUGCUGGCCGCCGACGGCUGGUACCUGGUCUUGGGCUGCACCCUCCUGGUGGCCGUCUUUCCGAAGCUCUCCGCCCGCCUGAGGGCCUCCGGGCAGAGGCCGCCGGCCCGGCGGCAGCUGCUGUGGCCCCCGAGGACGUUGUGAGACGGUAGGAGGCACUAGGAGGCCCUAGCGGCCGCGCGCCUGAAGAUGCAGGAAGAAUUCAAUGCCCAGGCAGAAAGGCACAAGGAGAAGCUACGACAGGGAGGAAACAGCGACCACGAGAAGCACCCGGCCUAACAUCCGCGUGCGAGCCGCAAGCCCCACGCCUCCACUCCACGCGGCGGCAAGGGAGCACAGAGGGCCUCCUGAUGCACAAGACCUCGCCAAAACCUCUCAACCUCGGAGUGUCUUACACGGCCCCGCAACGGGGAGGACGACGGUGCCAAAUGCUCCCGCCUCUGCGCGGGGAGCCUCCCAGGACGGCAAGCGGAAGUUAGUGCGUGAGCCUCACGCUUUUCUCUCGCGAGAGUGGCGGCAGCCCCGGGAAGAGGUUGAAGACACCUGCGGUGCGGAGCCCGGCAGGUGGGGCCUGCCUGCUAGGACCGCACCAGGUGCCCGAAUGAAUGCAAGGCCCGGUGUGGGCAU